rnacentral:rRNA from 1 species
CUACGGGUGGCUCCAGUGAGGAAUAUUGCACAAUGGGGGGAACCCUGAUGCAGCAACGCCGCGUGGAGGAUGACGCAUUUCGGUGUGUAAACUCCUUUUAUAUGUCAAGAAAAUGACGGUAGCAUAUGGAUAAGCACCGGCUAACUCCGUGCCAGCAGCCGCGGUAAUACGGAGGGUGCAAGCGUUACUCGGAAUCACUGGGCGUAAAGGACGCGUAGGCGGGUUGGAAAGUCAGGUGUGAAAUCCUACAGCUUAACUGUAGAACUGCACUUGAAACUUCUAAUCUAGAGUAUGGGAGGGGGAGAUGGAAUUAGUGGUGUAGGGGUAAAAUCCGUAGAUAUCACUAGGAAUACCUAAAGCGAAGGCGAUCUCCUGGAACAUUACUGACGCUAAGGCGUGAAAGCGUGGGGAGCAAACAGGAUAGAUACCCCAGUAGUC